UACGUAGGGUGCAAGCGUUGUCCGGAAUUAUUGGGCGUAAAGAGCUCGUAGGCGGUUUGUCGCGUCGGCUGUGAAAACUCGGGGCUCAACCCCGAGCCUGCAGUCGAUACGGGCAAACUAGAGUGUGGUAGGGGAGACUGGAAUUCCUGGUGUAGCGGUGAAAUGCGCAGAUAUCAGGAGGAACACCGGCGGCGAAGGCGGGUCUCUGGGCCAUAACUGACGCUGAGGAGCGAAAGCGUGGGGAGCGAACAGG
rnacentral:rRNA from 1 species